UUUUAUUUUCAUUCUAUAACUGAUAUUUACUCUGAUACCAUACAUUUGUCUGAAGAGUAAAAAUGAUCCUGCUACAUAUAGUUGUUGGUUUGCUUGUGAUAUCAACAUACAUGCAUUCAGCUGAAUCAUGUUGUUGCAUGCCAGAGAAAUUUGAACUACACGAAUAUGUGGAAGAUAUCUUCACUUGGCCAUCAGCAAACAUAGAAACGGGCUUUGCAAAUAUUUCUUUUGACUUGGAAGUGAAAAAAUCUGUAUUUUUCUUCUAUGACGUGAAACUAAAUGGAAAAGACGUACCCACACCAACAUAUCUUUUUGAUCAUUCCUCGGGAUUUGUGUACGUAUAUGAUCUGAGGUCCAAAUAUUGUAAAAAGAUGCCUAUCGGGGGAAUGAACCCUGUAUGCGUACCAGCAAAUCAAUCUACAGACACCACACAUCUCGGCGCAGCAAAAUAAAUGAUACCUGUUAAGACAUAUCAGUCUACAGCUGGGAAUCAAACAACUAGUACCACAGUAACGAAAGAGAAAUGUUAUCUCAUCAGCUCCGAACUCAAUGACUCGGAGUAUCCAACAAGUUUGAGAAAACAAUUUUACGGUACGACAUUAGGGAUAAAGGAUAUGUCGGUCUUCAAAAUCCCCGCUAUUUGUAAGAAGAUCUUUUGGAAUACACAGGAAAUACCAGAGGUUUCCCGUCGUGUAUUUCAUCCAUUCUACUUAUAGAAAAAACGAAACGGUUAGAGACGGUACCGAUUGGAUGUCAAGAAGUUAUCAACAAUCAAGAAAACUUAGCAAUUUUAUGCAUCUAUUUUUACUAUGGUUUAAUGUUUUCUCUGUCGAGGUUCAUAUGAAUUAAAUAUAUCUAUCUUUGUCUCUUUGUCCAUUUUACACGUUAUCAUUCAAAUUUUAUAAGAGCUUGACCAUAUCAUUUUCAACGUCCUCUUGUUAGCAAUUUUUUAAAUGUUUCAUCAUGUUCAUAGUGAAUUUUGAACUAAAUACAGGCAUAUUGAUGCAUCACAGAAAGUUUUUUUUAAAUCAUUUUGGAACAAAACAUUUACGCAUAGGAUAGAACAAGUAAUGUGUCAAAGGUUGCUGCGCAUCACAUUUUUAAAUCAUGUCAUAGAUUUCAAAAAAUAGUUUAUUUAUGUAUUUAUCGCCUUCUAAAUA